rnacentral:rRNA from 1 species
UACGUAGGGGGCCAGCGUUGUCCGGAAUCAUUGGGCGUAAAGCGCGUGUAGGCGGCCCGGAAAGUCUGGUGUGAAAUCUUGGGGCUCAACCCUAAGCUGUCACUGGAUACUAUCGGGCUUGAGUCUGGAAGAGGAGUGUGGAAUUCCUGGUGUAGCGGUGGAAUGCGCAGAUAUCAGGAGGAACACCGAUGGCGAAGGCAGCACUCUGGUACAUGACUGACGCUGAGACGCGAAAGCGUGGGUAGCAAACAGG